AGCACAGGCUCGCUGGGCUCUGCUCGCCUCACCUCCCGCCUCACCGCCCGCCGCUAGCCCUCCUAAGAGGAUUGCCUUUCCUUUAAUAUCCGCGCCGGCUCAUCCCGGCUGCGGCGAUCCGCCGUGCUGCGGCCGCGGUGUGACAGGCGCCGCUGGUGACAGGAGCCCCCGGGGCCGGGGUGCUGCCGCGGCCCGCCCCUCAGCGGCUGCUGCGGCUUUGGGGAGCUUCUCCCCAAAAUGUCACGAGCGAUGUGAGGCUGGUCCGAAUGUUCUGCAGCUGAUGAUCGCGUGUGCAGCUGCUCGGGAAAGUCAGGACCGGUUCUAGCGUUAUUGUAGCCUGGAAACGAGCAGCGGGAGAAGUCGUGGAGGAUUUGCAGGAGUUCCUCACUAAAGACCAGGGCCACUGUUUUGUUCAGUUUCAUUAGUGAAAGCUGACAGGUAUAAAUGUUCUCCUGUGUAGCUUUUGGGUGUCUCGGAACAGGAUCAUAGAUACAGAUAUCAGGCCCAGCAGAAGAGCAUUUGUGUAUGCCCAUACGUAGCAGCCGUGUCUGCUGUUAGUACAGUUUGCAAUAAAGCUGUUGCCAGCACUAAUUUUGCGGACAUAGUUGUCCGUAAGUGUAGCAAGUAAUCUGUUCUAAGGGUUAAUGAAACCUUUAUACCCUUCCAGCAUAUAUCCUGUGUUGUUAUGCAGCUUAGGUAAUAGGGCUCUGGCACAUUAAGAAAGAUUAUUUUAUGAGCAUAUUUCUUAUACUUCACUGCAUAUAAAUCCUCACUUUCUUUUUGGCCACACAUUGAAUUCUGUGAUGCUCCUGUGACAGAAAAUGCAACAAUUAAUAUGUAGAAAAGUCUUACACAUAAUUGUGUUAUUAUUUAAGAAUCUACUAGUUGAGGCUAUCACAGACUAGUGGUUAAUUUUCUCUUUUAAAUACUCCUGUCUGGCUCACCAGAUUAUAAACUGCUAGACUUAUCAACACCAAAGUCAUGAUGCGUUUCCAUUCUUGCAGGUUUGGACUGCAACUGUUUUCAGAUAAAACACGUAAAUCCUCUUUAAUAGUUCAAAGAGAUCUGAUGACACUGUGGUGUGAGUUGACUUGAGUUCAUAGUUGGAGUAGAAGCCUAAAAAUACUGUUUGUUUCCUUGUGUCUUUGUCAGUGUGGUUAUGAUUAACCAUCUGGAAAAGCACUGGUGCGAGUUGUAAUCACAUCAUGUACUGCCUCAAGCUGUGUCUGUUUCAGUGUGGGGGUCCUGCAUGCAGAAGUGUGUGGGCAUACCAGAGGGAGCACCUUAAUGUGAAUACUGAGAUAGCCUGUACCUCUCAAAGACAGCUCAUGCACCAGCCCCGGGACAGGUGCUGUGGGUGCAAAUUGGAGAUGCUGUUGGGCUCUGACAGAUGGUUGCUCUACCUCCACUUUGGUGAUCAACUGUGCUAACAAGGGGGAAAUUUGUCUGGUUUGAUUUUCAUGUGCUGCAGUCAGGCAUCUGGCAAUUUUGGCUUCCUUAUAGUAUCUGUGCUAGUAAUUUCUUGUGUCAGUGGUCUAAAAGUUGCUUAUUUACAAGAUGUUAGUGACCUUACACAGAGUAGGUCACAAUACCAUGUAACUCUGUAUCCUUGCCUCCUCCUUUCUGGCACAUGUGUUGUUAUUGCAUGAGCUGUGCAUGUGUACUCUUUCAUGUCUACAUUUCUGGUUAGCUUGGAGUCCAUUUAUGUCUAUACCACAUAAAAUCCUUCAUGAUUUUUGCUGAAACUUUACUCAAAAAAAAAAAAAAGUCCCCAAAUGGGAACUACUGAGUUUUGUUUAUUUGUUUUGCGUACUUGACGGCAAGUAAAUUUUGUCUAGGAGUUGGAAAUGUAUGAUUUGUCUGAUUGAUGGUGUGAAUAGGAUGGCAUUGUAACAGGUGUGUAAUAUCACAGCGGCUUAAAGAGGUUUUAAAUAUAUUGAGUUGUUUUAAUCUUGAUGCUUAUAUUGGAUUUGUGCACCUUCAGUUUACUGAAUGUGUUCUUAUAGAUCAAUGUUUUCAUAAAGCAUUUUUACAUCGCUUUCUAUUAUUUAUUGAUGCAACACAUGUAAAAAACAUGGCGUGACUCUAAAAUGUAGACUUUAAUUUUGGAUUUCAGUAAAGCUUUUGAUACUGUUUUUCACAGGAUCCUGCUGGAUAAAAUGUCCAGCCCCACAGCUGGAUAAACACAUCAUGCAGCAGGGCUGACCAAAGUUAAAGCAUGGCUUUAGGAGCACUGUCCAAAUGCCUCUUCAGCAUUGGCACAAGCUGGGCAUGGUCAGGGAAGGCAACAACCACCUCUCCAGGAUGCCUGUUCCAGGUUUCUAGAUCAUUUCUAGAUAAUGAAGUGUCAUGUCAAGUCUGGACCUCCCCUGAGGAAUGCUGUGAUUGGAACCAUUCCCCAGGAGGAAGAAGAGCUCAGCAUCUCCCUCAACACUUUGCUACUCAGGAAGCUGUAGGAAGCAGUGAACUCACCCCUCAGCCUCCUCCUCUCCAGACCAGACAAGCCCAGUGCCCUCAGCUGCUCCCCACAGCACAAUCCUACCAACCCCUCCCCUGCUUUGGUGCCCUUCUCAGGACACGUUCAAGUACCUUCACAUCCUUUUUUAAUGGUGGGGCCCAGCACUGCACACAGUACUCGAGGUGAGGCCGCACCAGUGCUGAAUUCAGCAGGAUAAUCACCUCCCUUGGCUGGUUGGUGGUGCUGUGUUUGAUGCACCCCAGGAUGAGGAUUGCUCUCCUGACUACCAGGGCACACACACUGCUGAUCCCAGUGAGCUUCCUGCCAACCAGCACUCGAAACCCCUUUCUGCAGGGCUGCUCUCCAGUUCAGACUUGUGCCUGGAAUUACUACAUCCUGGGUGUAGAAUCCAGCAUUUGGUUGGUUUUGUUUUGUUUCAUAUCAUUGGUGACUGCUCAAUACUCCAGUCAAUCCAGAUCUCUCUGCAAGGCAAAGCCUCUUAUUCCAUGGGAGAGUCAGCAGCAUUUCCCAGUCUGGUAGCAUCAUCAAACUAUCUGAGCAUUCAACUGCAGCCUCCAGCUCAUUGAUAAAGGGAUGGAACAGAGCUGCCUCUAGAACAGAGCCCUGAGAAACACCACUGGUAACUGGUCACCAGCCAGAUGUCCUGUUUGCUGCAACAGUUUGAGCCCUGCUCUUCAACCAAUUCUUCCCUCAGUGCAUUGCAUACCUGCUCAUCCCACUGUUGGAAAACUUGCCUGGAAGGAGGCUUUGAGGGACAAUAUCAAAAGCCUUUCUAAACUGUGGAAAAAAGUAAAUCCACUGUGUUCACUUUAUCCAAGCAGGUGACCUUAUUGUAGAAGCUUAUUAAAUUAAACAAGACUUUGUGAACCCA